ACGGGAGGCAGCAGUGGGGAAUAUUGGACAAUGGGGGAAACCCUGAUCCAGCGACGCCGCGUGAGUGAAGAAGUAUUUCGGUAUGUAAAGCUCUAUCAGCAAGGAAGAAAAUGACGGUACUUGACUAAGAAGCCCCGGCUAACUACGUGCCAGCAGCCGCGGUAGUACGUAGGGGGCAAGCGUUAUCCGGAUUUACUGGGUGUAAAGGGAGCGUAGACGGUAUGGCAAGUCUGAAGUGAAAUGCAUGGGCUCAACCCAUGAACUGCUUUGGAAACUGUCAAACUAGAGUGCAGGAGAGGUAAGUGGAAUUCCUAGUGUAGCGGUGAAAUGCGUAGAUAUUAGGAGGAACACCAGUGGCGAAGGCGGCUUACUGGACUGUAACUGACGUUGAGGCUCGAAAGCGUGGGGAGCAAACAGGAUUAGAUACCCUGGUA
rnacentral:rRNA from 1 species